UACGUAGGGUGCAAGCGUUGUCCGGAAUUAUUGGGCGUAAAGAGCUCGUAGGCGGUUUGUUGCGUCGGCUGUGAAAUCCCGAGGCUCAACCUCGGGUCUGCAGUCGAUACGAGCAAACUAGAGUGUUGCAGGGGAGACUGGAAUUCCUGGUGUAGCGGUGAAAUGCGUAGAUAUCUGGGGGAACACCGGUGGCGAAGGCGGCAUCCUGGACCGACACUGACGCUGAGGAGCGAAAGCCAGGGGAGCAAACGGG
rnacentral:rRNA from 1 species